GACAAUUGAGUAUUUCGCGAUUAAAAGUGUCGGUAAAUCUCAGAAAAACAAGGUUCUUCCAGAAGUGAGUUAUUAUUAUUCCUGUUAGUUAAUUAUUAAUAGCAUUCAUGUAAUUUCUUUAGUUUUCUAUCAGAUGUUAAGUUGUAUUGUGUUGUUGAUUGCAAAAACUCGCGAAUUACGCUUUUUAUUCUUCUGCAAGUUAGGAUUCUUCACACUUUGGAUCACCAAAAUUUGCUCAAUUUUUAUUCAUGCUAGAGUGAUGGUUCCUAGGAAUCAUAUGCACUAUGUGGAAAACGGUAACUCUUCAUUGCAUCACAAAGGUAUGAGCAUGUAGAAAGCUAGCAUGGGGUGAAACAGGAUGAGAGUCUCAAUAAUUCAAACUGUGGUGAAGUCGUGCAGACUGCCUCAACUCCUACAACUGCCAAUUACUCUCUAGAAAAAGUAGAAACAUGAUUUGAUUUUUAUCCUUGUUUAUAAUGAUUGGUUUGUAUGAAAUUUGUGCAGAGAAAGAGUGUUUGUGCCGACUGUCGCACUUGAGUUAGAUUUUUUCUGUGCAACUGGAGUCACUUUUGAGAACACAGUGGUUGCAUCAGCAGGUGGCAAAGGAAUGCAGGUUGCUGAAGGUUUAGAUGAUUUGAAGAUAGUACUGCUUAUUGAGUUCAUAGUUUUUACCUCUGUCUUAUAUAUGUUGGUCCAUUGUUGAUUCAUAGUUUUAUUGAGUUCACAUCAAGGAAAGAUAGUACUACUGGUGAAGGUAUUGUUUUGAUAUUGAUCCUUUUUGUAGCAAAAUCAACUGAAGUGCUUAGUGCCCAUCAAUACAACUUCCAAUUUCAGAAACUCGGUAUGCUUAUUCGCUCAAGCAUAAUCACUUCGGUUUACAAAAAGGGUUUAAGAUUGUCGAGUUCUUCAAGACAAACUCAUGGAACAGGACAGAUUGUGAAUCAUAUGGCUGUUGAUGCUCAACAACUCUAUAUGAUGAUGCAGUUACAUCCUAUAUGGUUGAUGCCAUUGCAAGUUACUGCUGCACUGGUUCUUAUAUAUAGCUAUAUUGGUGUAUCUACUGUUGCAGCAUUUCUUGGAUCUGCGGUAGUAUUUUUCUUCACGACAUAUUAAACUAAGAGUAGUAAUGGUUUCUAGUUUCAGAUAAUGACGAGCCGCGAUUUGAGACUGAAGGCAACAAAUAAAUUGCUUAACAAUAUGCGUGUGAUUAAGAUUCAAGCGUGGGAAGAGUAUUUUGUUAACAAAAUUCGACAAUUUCGUGAAGCGGAGCAUGGAUGGAUUGUGAAAUUCUUGUACUGCUGUUAACUAUGGAGUAUUGUAUGCGGUUGUAGGAACUGUUGGUUGAGGCAAGUCUUCAUU